CCAUUGAUCAUAUUAUUAUUAUACUAUUACUUCAGUAAGUUACUUAAUCUCAUACUUUUGCAGUCUCUGACCAAAUUAUCUGCAAAUGGCGAGGAUUUCCACUUCUUUCUUCAUCAUAACCGUUAUGUUGGCAGUUUUUCUCGCUUUAUCAGCUCCAUCGUUCGCCCAAAAGGUUAAUACUGCAUGUAAAGCAGCUGGUGAAUUUUGUGGAGGAUUUGCCGGAUUUGUUUGUUGUAAAGGAUUAACCUGUGUUCUUGAAGGUGAUUUCCCAGAUGCAGGUGGAAUUUGUAAGCCAAAAUAUUAACCCAUCGACAACAUUGUUGUGUCCUAUCGGAUGAUCAAGCUCCUCAUUGUCUCAAUCCUACAAGUCUUUAAUUGUGUUUAAUUCAUUGAUGUUAUAUGACCAUGUUUCAUGUAUUUAAUCAAUAUUUAUGUAGUUGGUUUUCCUUCAUUGUUUUGUUUGAUGUACUCGAAAAAUGUUAUUGGAUUUCUUUUCCAAUAUAUAUUCAAAUAUUCAAUGCAUCAUAUAUUUACAUCUA